rnacentral:lncRNA from 10 species
CUUAAUUCCUCUAGCAAUGAGUUGUGACAAAUAGGCAAAAUGUCUAUUAGGGAAGCUCACUAGAGACUUAGUGCCCAAGAUCUUUCCUGGGGGUGGUCACAUAGGUACUCUCUAUCUAGCAAGUACUACAAUUCCAGACUCCCUGAAGGAAGGCAAUAUUUGCCUAAACCAUAUUUUUUGCAUAAGCAGUUUAGGCCCACAACACCACGUUUGCCAAUUAGGAAAUGACGGGAACAAUCCUGAAAUUUAAGUUUACAGGGCUAACUUUGAAAGCAGGCCCUUUUAAGGGUAGUAUACUCAGACCUGCUUUGCUAACUUUUUUCUGCACAAUAUGAAACAUUUAUUGUUUUGGGAGAAUUGUCCCUUUUUAAAGAAAGUGAUCCUGAAAAG